GGAAGGGUGGCUGAGUUUUGGAUUAAGGCACUCGAUUCGAAAUCGAGCGUAGGAAAAAACACCUACCGUGGGUUCGAAUCCCACCCCUUCCG
rnacentral:tRNA from 1 species